AUUGAACGCUGGCGGCAGGCCUAACACAUGCAAGUCGAGCGAGCGGCGGACGGGUGAGUAAUGUAUGGGGAUCUGCCUGAUGGAGGGGGAUAACUACUGGAAACGGUAGCUAAUACCGCAUACCAUCAGAUGAACCCAUAUGGGAUUAGCUUGUAGGUAAGGUAACGGCUCACCUAGGAGACGAUCCCUAGCUGGUCUGAGAGGAUGAUCAGCCACACUGGGACUGAGACACGGGCCAGACGCCGACGUGAGGCAGCAGUGGGGAAUAUUGCACAAGGGGCGCAAGCUUGAUGCAGCCAUGCCGCGUGUAGGAAGAAGGCCUUGGGGUUGUAAUGUACUUAUAGUCGGGAGGCGUUACCGACAGAAGAAGCACCGGCUAACUCCGUGCCAGCAGCCGCGGUAAUAC
rnacentral:rRNA from 1 species